CCUACGGGAGGCAGCAGUGAGGAAUAUUGGUCAAUGGCCGUAAGGCUGAACCAGCCAAGUCGCGUGAAGGAAGAAGGAUCUAUGGUUUGUAAACUUCUUUUAUAGGGGAAUAAAGGUAUCCACGUGUGGAUAUUUGCAUGUACCCUUUGAAUAAGCAUCGGCUAACUCCGUGCCAGCAGCCGCGGUAAUCCGGAGGAUGCGAGCGUUAUCCGGAUUUAGUGGGUGUAAUGGGUGCGUAGGUUGUGUUUUAAGUCAGCGGUGAAAGUUUGUGGCUCAACCAUAAAAUUGCCGUUGAAACUGGAAGACUUGAGUAUGUUUGAGGUAGGCGGAAUGCGUGGUGUAGCGGUGAAAUGCAUAGAUAUCACGCAGAACUCCGAUUGCGAAGGCAGCUUACUAAGCCAUAACUGACACUGAGGCACGAAAGCGUGGGGAUCAAACAGGAUUAGAUACCCUAGUAGUC
rnacentral:rRNA from 1 species